CCUACGGGAGGCUGCAGUGGGGAAUAUUGCACAAUGGGCGCAAGCCUGAUGCAGCCAUGCCGCGUGUGUGAAGAAGGCCUUCGGGUUGUAAAGCACUUUCAGCGGGGAGGAAGGCGGUGAGGUUAAUAACCUCAUCGAUUGACGUUACCCGCAGAAGAAGCACCGGCUAACUCCGUGCCAGCAGCCGCGGUAAUACGGAGGGUGCAAGCGUUAAUCGGAAUUACUGGGCGUAAAGCGCACGCAGGCGGUCUGUCAAGUCGGAUGUGAAAUCCCCGGGCACAACCUGGGAACUGCAUUCGAAACUGGCAGGCUAGAGUCUUGUAGAGGGGGGUAGAAUUCCAGGUGUAGCGGUGAAAUGCGUAGAGAUCUGGAGGAAUACCGGUGGCGAAGGCGGCCCCCUGGACAAAGACUGACGCUCAGGUGCGAAAGCGUGGGGAGCAAACAGGAUUAGAUACCCUAGUAGUC
rnacentral:rRNA from 1 species